rnacentral:lncRNA from 12 species
CUGGGUUCCCAUCACUGCCUUCCCAAUAAAGCAGCCCAUCCCAAGCAGGACGUGCUCCUCCUCUUUGGGGAAGAAGAAUCUUCAGGGGAGUGUGCUGGUCCCCCCAAGCACAAGGGCUCUGGGAUUAGAGGAAUUCCCUGGGCUUGAGCUGCUGUGCUCUGGGCUUACUCAGGAGGUGAAUGAGGAGUUUCUACACAAGAGGAAAAGUGCUGUCACUGAGGCACUUGUGAGCACAAAUCCCUGGUGAUGGGCUGGCUGUCACACCUGGGUUUGCAGCAAGAAAAAUGUGCAUUUAGCCUUGCUAAUGUUUAAGAUUACAGAUGGAGUGGUAGCAUUUGAAAAGAACUCCUUUUCCUUGGACUUCUCCAUUUUACUACUCUGUUCUACUAAGGAUAUUACCUUAGCUUCCCUCUGGAAAACGGCCAGUGAACCUCGAAUCCUGGAGAGCUUGGUUGACUUGAGGCCAGCUGUAACUCUUGUGAAAAGGAGACUGUUCCACACCCAGUUCAGACUGAAUCUGCAGGUAAGGCUUGAAGUGCUCUGCUUUCACCACGUGUAGUUCAAGUGCAUCAGUACUUAUCUUCUCUGCAGCAUAGCUUUUCAACAGCAGCCACUGUUCACCGUCACUGAAUGGUGGCAUCAGUGGCCAAAACCUGCCCUGGAGGCUGGCAGGAUUUCUGACUGGGUGUCCUUUGGUGGGGUCUGCUUCUGCUGCUGCUCAUGGAGAUGUCACAGCUGCAGAGAAUGGCUGGGGUUGUGUGCUCACUUGGAGCAGCACCACUCAGUAAAGAGCUCUCCUGGCAGGUGUGGUGAUCUUUGUAUUCUGGGAGAGUGUUGGAGUUAUCUCCUGCAGCUGGGCUGGCCUCCCCUGGGAGCUCUGAGCACUGGGCUGUGUUACAGCUAUGUUAUGUAUAUUUUAGUAAUCCU